ensembl:lncRNA
CCCUUCCUAGACCUUGUUUAAGGGCUGGCAGUAGAGGUGAGGGUCUCUCUCUCUCAGGAGAUCUCUGUGUACCUGAGACCUGCUAAAGAUGAGAAGGACAGGGCUAGGACACCCUCUAAGGAAGAUGAGGAAGCCUGCUCAUUCCAGCAGAGAGUGAGAUAAGCUAACAGGGAGACUUCUUUGAGGAGCAGGAACCAAGCAGCACAGGCAAGGACUUUGGAGGAUUGGUAACUUUCCAGGAGGACUCUGGCUGAUUUGCAUCCCCAUUACUGAAAUCAUCAUGGUUUAACAAACCAAAAGGAAAGCAGUGUCUUGGGCACUGGUAGCACCCUUAUGAUAGCAGGCCACUGAGUCUAUAUUAUGGUUAAGUGAAGAGCUGUUUUGUGUGAUGAACACAUUCAUCUGUGUUUGAUAAGGGUAUUUAGUGGAUGAAAAUGCAUUUUUUUAGCUGUGUAAACUUUUUUGAUGAUGCUAUAUGAAUUUGUCCCCCACUUGUUAAGAACUGUGAAAGUAUGUAAAAGAAAGAGAUCAUCUUUUCCUCACAGCCAUUUCUUAGCAUAGAUUCUAAUUUCUUUUCAUAGUUGCAUUACUCAGCAAAAAGUCUCUUUCAAUUCUUUCAAUUUAAUCAAUUCUAUUUUUCAUUCCUUAUGAUAUAAGAAAGUGUCUUUUGUUCUUGUCUUCAUUCCUAUACUUUCUUUAUUAACAUACCUGGGAAGUCUAAGACAUAAUUAUGAUCUAAGCGUUGGCUUAAUGAGAGUUUUCCCUUGGAAUUUCUGUUUUCAUAGGUGCUGUGAAUUGUGAAAGGGUUCCACAGUUUGUUAUGUUCAUCUACCUGGGGUAUCUGUUGCUCUUCCCUGAUGUCAUAAACUAGAAGCAGCACUGAGAUUCUUUCCUGUGUUCUGAGUUCCCAUCUGGAUACAAAUUCCUUUAUUAUUUGUUGACCCAUGAAACUCUCACUACGAGCAGCUACUGGUAAAGAGAAAUCCUGUUAUGUUCCAUGUCAGUCUCCUGGGUACUUUGAAAUUUCUUACUUACAAAACAAAAUUCCUUCAAAAAGCCCAAGUGCCUUUUCUUCUUCAGAAUUAGGAACUCAGUUGCUGUGCUUAUUGGCAAGGGAAAAUAUUACUGUGGUUAUGUAAAUCAUUGAAACAUGGAUUAUUGGAGCGUUAAAAUCUCUCUCAACUUAUUCCGAUGUUAGGAAUUAAGUAUGACAUCUACAAAUGUAUCUGGAAUAGGUAAUUUCUGGGAUACAGCUGUAUAAAUGUGAAAAUUGCUACUAAAAAUAUUUCCAUAAGGAAAGCAUGGUAAAUUGAAGAACGACUGCUGUUUAAAAAUUACAUCCCUUUCUAAAGUGUGGUUCUGAAAUAUUGAUAAUCUGCAUGGAAGAGACUUCAAACAAUCUCCCUGCUACUUUUAUCUUUUUAACAAAGUAAAACUGAUAAAAGAGUGAUGCUAACAAUUGAUUUUAAAACUGAGGGUAAUAACCUUUUAUGUCUAAUGCAUUUAAAUAAAUAUAAUU